rnacentral:rRNA from 1 species
CUACGGGGCGCAGCAGUGGGGAAUAUUGCACAAUGGGCGCAAGCCUGAUGCAGCCAUGCCGCGUGUAUGAAGAAGGCCUUCGGGUUGUAAAGUACUUUCAGCGGGGAGGAAGGGAGUAAAGUUAAUACCUUUGCUCAUUGACGUUACCCGCAGAAGAAGCACCGGCUAACUCCGUGCCAGCAGCCGCGGUAAUACGGAGGGUGCAAGCGUUAAUCGGAAUUACUGGGCGUAAAGCGCACGCAGGCGGUUUGUUAAGUCAGAUGUGAAAUCCCCGGGCUCAACCUGGGAACUGCAUCUGAUACUGGCAAGCUUGAGUCUCGUAGAGGGGGGUAGAAUUCCAGGUGUAGCGGUGAAAUGCGUAGAGAUCUGGAGGAAUACCGGUGGCGAAGGCGGCCCCCUGGACGAAGACUGACGCUCAGGUGCGAAAGCGUGGGGAGCAAACAGGAUUAGAUACCCGCGAGUC